rnacentral:rRNA from 1 species
GAUGAACGCUGGCGGCGUGCCUAAUACAUGCAAGUCGAGCGAACAGACGAGGAGCUUGCUCCUCUGACGUUAGCGGCGGACGGGUGAGUAACACGUGGAUAACCUACCUAUAAGACUGGGAUAACUUCGGGAAACCGGAGCUAAUACCGGAUAAUAUAUUGAACCGCAUGGUUCAAUAGUGAAAGACGGUUUUGCUGUCACUUAUAGAUGGAUCCGCGCCGCAUUAGCUAGUUGGUAAGGUAACGGCUUACCAAGGCAACGAUGCGUAGCCGACCUGAGAGAGGGAUCGGCCACACUGGAACUGAGACACGGUCCAGACUCCUGCGGGAGGCAGCAGUAGGGAAUCUUCCGCAAUGGGCGAAAGCUUGACGGAGCAACGCCGCGUGAGUGAUGAAGGUCUUCGGAUCGUAAAACUCUGUUAUGAGGGAAGAACAAAUGUGUAAGUAACUAUGCACGUCUUGACGGUACCUAAUCAGAAAGCCACGGCUAACUACGUG